rnacentral:rRNA from 1 species
AUUGAACGCUGGCGGCAGGCCUAACACAUGCAAGUCGAACGAGAGGCGGACGGGUGAGUAAUGUCUGGGAAACUGCCUGAAGGCGGGGGAUAAAUACUGGAAACGGUAGCUAAUACAGCAUACGAUCAGUUGUGCCCAGAUGGGAUUAGCUAGUUGGUGGGGUAACGGCUCACCAAGGCGACGAUCCCUAGCUGGUCUGAGAGGGUGACCAGCCACACUGGAACUGAGACACGGUCCAGACUCCUACGGGAGGCAGCAGUGGGGAAUAUUGCACAAUGGGCGAAAGCCUGAUGCAGCCAUGCCGCGUGUGUGAAGAAGGCCUUCGGGUUGUAAAGUACUUUCAGCGGGGAGGCGUUACCCGCAGAAGAAGCACCGGCUAACUCCGUGCCAGCAGCCGCGGUAAUUC